rnacentral:tRNA from 1 species
GGUGGUAGUAUAAUUGUAUGUGUAGUUUCGGCCUACAAGGUAGACUGGGUGUUUUCACUCC